rnacentral:rRNA from 1 species
AGUCGAAGAUGAGCCCGUUAGGGGUGGAUUAGUGGCGAACGGGUGAGUAACACGUGGGCAAUCUGCCCUGCACUCUGGGACAAGCCCUGGAAACGGGGUCUAAUACCGGAUAACACCCUCGCAGGCAUCUGCGAGGGUUAAAAGCUCCGGCGGUGCAGGAUGAGCCCGCGGCCUAUCAGCUUGUUGGUGAGGUAAUGGCUCACCAAGGCGACGACGGGUAGCCGGCCUGAGAGGGCGACCGGCCACACUGGGACUGAGACACGGCCCAGACUCCUACGGGAGGCAGCAGUGGGGAAUAUUGCACAAUGGGCGAAAGCCUGAUGCAGCGACGCCGCGUGAGGGAUGACGGCCUUCGGGUUGUAAACCUCUUUCAGCAGGGAAGAAGCGAAAGUGACGGUACCUGCAAAAGAAGCGCCGGCUAACUACGUGCCAGCAGCCGCGGUAAUACGUAGGGCGCAAGCGUUGUCCGGAAUUAUUGGGCGUAAAGAGCUCGUAGGCGGCUUGUCACGUCGAUUGUGAAAGCCCGAGGCUUAACCUCGGGUCUGCAGUCGAUACGGGCUAGCUAGAGUGUGGUAGGGGAGAUCGGAAUUCCUGGUGUAGCGGUGAAAUGCGCAGAUAUCAGGAGGAA